UACGUAGGGUGCGAGCGUUAAUCGGAAUUACUGGGCGUAAAGCGUGCGUAGGGGGUUCGUUGUGUCUGUGGUGAAAGCCCCGGGCUUAACCUGGGAAUGGCCAUGGAAACUGGCGAGCUGGAGUCUGGCAGAGGGGGGUGGAAUUCCGCGUGUAGCAGUGAAAUGCGUAGAGAUGCGGAGGAACACCGAUGGCGAAGGCAGCCCCCUGGGCUAAGACUGACGCUGAGGCACGAAAGCGUGGGGAGCAAACAGG
rnacentral:rRNA from 1 species